CUGCAGCUUAUUAAGCCGACUGGUCUCGCUGUGGUGCGGCUCUGGUGUGCAAAGGCUGCAGACAGUGACUCUUUGGUUGUGUAUGUCCUCAGCUGGGUGGUGCUGAGUGCUUUAAGGGACCACUGAGACAAAC
ensembl:snoRNA SNORA70 Small nucleolar RNA SNORA70